rnacentral:rRNA from 1 species
CGGGGAAUAUUGGACAAUGGGCGAAAGCCUGAUCCAGCCAUGCCGCGUGUGUGAAGAAGGUCUUCGGAUUGUAAAGCACUUUAAGUUGGGAGGAAGGGCAUUAACCUAAUACGUUAGUGUUUUGACGUUAUCGACAGAAUAAGCACCGGCUAACUCUGUGCCAGCAGCCGCGGUAAUACAGAGGGUGCAAGCGUUAAUCGGAAUUACUGGGCGUAAAGCGCGCGUAGGUGGUUUGUUAAGUUGGAUGUGAAAUCCCCGGGCUCAACCUGGGAACUGCAUUCAAAACUGACUGACUAGAGUAUGGUAGAGGGUGGUGGAAUUUCCUGUGUAGCGGUGAAAUGCGUAGAUAUAGGAAGGAACACCAGUGGCGAAGGCGACCACCUGGACUAAUACUGACACUGAGGUGCGAAAGCGUGGGGAGCAAACA